rnacentral:sRNA from 1 species
AUAUCUCUCUGUACGGGAAGGAUGAGAAGCUUCGACCAAGGUUCGAUUCGAGCGUCAGCGAGAAAGCGUUGCCGCAGGCAACGACCCGAAGGGCGAAGCGCGCAGCGCUGAGUCAUCCUUCCCCCA